CCUACGGGAGGCAGCAGUGGGGAAUCUUGCACAAUGGANGAAACUCUGAUGCAGCGAUGCCGCGUGAGUGAAGAAGGCCUUUGGGUUGUAAAGCUCUUUCGUCGGGGAAGAAAAUGACUGUACCCGAAUAAGAAGGUCCGGCUAACUUCGUGCCAGCAGCCGCGGUAAUACGAAGGGACCUAGCGUAGUUCGGAAUUACUGGGCUUAAAGAGUUCGUAGGUGGUUGAAAAAGUUGGUGGUGAAAUCCCANAGCUUAACUCUGGAACUGCCAUCAAAACUUUUCAGCUAGAGUAUGAUAGAGGAAAGCAGAAUUUCUAGUGUAGAGGUGAAACUUGUAGAUAUUAUAAAGAAUACCAAUUGCGAAGGCAGCUUUCUGGAUCAUUACUGACACUGAGGAACGAAAGCAUGGGUAGCGAAGAGGAUUAGAUACCUUCGUAGUCCAUGCCGUAAACGAUGUGUGUUAGACGUUGGAAAUUUAUUUUCNNUGUCNCAGCGAAAGCGAUAAACACACCGCCUGGGGAGUACGACC
rnacentral:rRNA from 1 species